GAUGAACGCUGGCGGCGUGCCUAAUACAUGCAAGUCGAGCGAACGGACGAGAAGCUUGCUUCUCUGAUGUUAGCGGCGGACGGGUGAGUAGCACGUGGAUAACCUACCUAUCAGACUGGGAUAACUUCGGGAAACCGGAGCUAAUACCGGAUAAUAUUUUGAACCGCAUUGUUCAAAAGUGAAAGACGGUCUUGCUGUCACUUAUAGAUGGAUCCGCGCUGCAUUAGCUAGUUGGUAAGGUAACGGCCUUCCAAGGCAACGAUGCAUAGCCGACCUGAGAGAGGGAUCGGCCACACUGGAGCUGAGACACGGUCCAGAGUCCUACGGGAGGCAGCAGUAGGGAAUCUGCCGCAAAGGGCGGAAGCCUGACGGAGCGACGCCGCGUGAGUGAUGAAGGUCUUCGGAUCGUAAAACUCUGUUAUGAGGGAAAAACAUAUGUGUAAGUAGCUGUGCACAUCUUGACGGUACCUAAUCAGAAAGCCACGGCUAACUACGUG
rnacentral:rRNA from 1 species